rnacentral:rRNA from 1 species
AGUGAACGCUGGCGGUAGGCCUAACACAUGCAAGUCGAGCGGCAGCACAGUAAGAGCUUGCUCUUACGGGUGGCGAGUGGCGGACGGGUGAGGAAUACAUCGGAAUCUACUUUUUCGUGGGGGAUAACGUAGGGAAACUUACGCUAAUACCGCAUACGACCUACGGGUGAAAGCAGGGGAUCUUCGGACCUUGCGCGAUUGAAUGAGCCGAUGUCGGAUUAGCUAGUUGGCGGGGUAAAGGCCCACCAAGGCGACGAUCCGUAGCUGGUCUGAGAGGAUGAUCAGCCACACUGGAACUGAGACACGGUCCAGACUCCUACGGGAGGCAGCAGUGGGGAAUAUUGGACAAUGGGCGCAAGCCUGAUCCAGCCAUACCGCGUGGGUGAAGAAGGCCUUCGGGUUGUAAAGCCCUUUGUUGGGAAAGAAAAGCAGCAGGUUAAUACCCCGCUGUUCUGACGGUACCCAAAGAAUAAGCACCGGCUAACUUCGUG